rnacentral:lncRNA from 1 species
GACUUAGGAGGGCUAGUUCGCCCUAUUUCCUUUUCUUCGUUGAGAUGUGGUCUGGUGGGAUCGGAUGUCCAUCCGAAGGUCGUUUGAUCAUUAGUUAUAUAUUAUGUAUACAAGCAUAGACAUAUAGGUUUACAUUAGUCAGUUUAGUUGGGUUAAAGGUAUGCCUGUGCUUGUAUAAGCUAUGUAAAUAAUGUUUAAAGGACUUAGGAGGGCUAGUUCGCCCUAUUUCCUUUUCUUCGUUGAGAUGUGGUCUGGUGGGAUCGGAUGUCCAUCCGAAGGUCGUUUGAUCAUUAGUUAUAUAUUAUGUAUACAAGCAUAGACAUAUAGGUUUACAUUAGUCAGUUUAGUUGGGAGUCUCUAUCAUUAGUUCAGUAUUUUACAUCAGAUCUCACUAUACGAGAUACAUCUUCAGUACAC